GUGCCUUAUAACAUGUCUUUAUAACUGGCUGUGUAAGAAUGAAGAAAAGCUGUCCAUCUUCUGAGAAGGAAGCAGCAUGUGCCAUCCUUCUGUCAGAAAACACCAAAGAGAUGAAGAAAUGAGAAAUCCAGAAACCAAAGACCUUGCUCUUUUGUCAAACAGACUUGGUAGAGCAGAGUUGCAAAAUCAGACCUUUGGGGGCUUGCGUGUUUCUCCUCUUACUCCCUGGUGUAGCAUCCUGAGCAAGAUUUGAAACAAUGGCUCUGGCAGACAGACAAAAGAAGGGAGCUUGGCGCUGUUCCCAUAAAUGCUACUGGGUCCUUUCCUCAGUGAAGUUGCUGCUCUGCAGUGGAAUCUCACACUCAGCUUAAGAAAGUCAAGUGAUACAGAUUUGAGCCAUCAAUCAUACUGUGGAAGCUAACUCAACUACCCAGAACUUGAUUUAUGGGAAAGAAAGGGUUUCCAAGACAACUUGAAACCAUGGUUGAUGUAAUGGUUAUUAUGCCCCUGAAAUACCAAUAUAGCCUUUCAUCUUUUUCUGAAAGUAUUAUUCUCAUAAGGAAAUUAUAACACCUAAAGGCUUCAGUGUCA
rnacentral:lncRNA from 1 species